UCUAUGACUCCAUGAUUCCACGGGUCUUUCUAUAAUUCUGCUGUUCUAUGACUCCACGAUCCCAUGGUUCUGUGAUUCUAUGAUCCCAUAUUUCUAUGACUCUGUGAUUCUGCGAUUCCUGGCCUUGGAACGCCGUCCCUGAAGAGAAACACGACAAACUCACAUUUAUCAGCAGCAGAGGGCGUCCAACGCACGCGUGUCCCUAAAUCCCGAGCUCCAACUGCAAAUCCGACGGCGGCCAAAAUUACUCGGAGCGCGGCCGAUACUUCCCCGCCAAUUGUGCCGCUGCCUCAGGUUUCCUUCCCUGCUCCGUGCUCGGUGCCAUACGGGAGGUGCAGACCCGAUUGUUCGCCCUGUGGCCCCCGCAGACAGGAUACGAGCCCAGUGCCAGGCAUUGAGGGAAGAUUCCACAGAGAUUUCACAGAGGAGGAAGGGACUGCACACAUGGAGACAGGGUGGUCUUUUGCUAGGUUUCCCCACUUGGAAGAUCCAAAUGCAACACCUGUUUUUCUGGAAAAGGUCUGGGAGUUACUGCAGCUGUAAUACCAUUCCUGAAAAAAUACAGCUCUCUGCCAGUUGAGAUGAACUACUGGGAUGCACUAAUGGGAUGCACUACUCAGUAAAGGAGAAAUUUCUCUCUCAGUGAGUCUCCAAUUCACUUUGUGAGUACCUGUUCAGAGAAACUGUGGCUGCCCCAUCCCUGGAAGAAUCCAGGGCCAGAUUGGAUGGGGCUUGGAGCAACCUGGGGUAGUGAAAGAUGUCCCUGCUCAUGGCAGGGGGUGGAACUGGAUGAACUUUGAGGUCCCUUCCCACUGAAACCAUUAAAGGAUUUUAUUACUUUAUCCUUUCUCUCCUUGAUGCUCAGGGCAGGGUUCACCUCACUUUACAGACAGCUCCAGUUUAUGGGCACGGGAAGCCAGGGCACCUGCAGGUGUCCCCAGGUGAACUUCCUGUUAAACACCAGCUACGGGGGCAGGGGUGACUCACCUGUCCUUACACAGGUAGCGAGUGCCACUUGAGGUGCUCUCUGGCUCCUGAGCUGCCACAUGCAGAGGGCAAACCCAUCCUGUCAGUGGAGACUGGGCAAAUAUUCAGGAGAGCCUGCUGUGCAUGACAAAACAGCUGCCACUUGUACACGUGGCACCAAUUUAAUCCAAAUUCAUUCAUCCCUGGUAAAUUGAAUUGCAGCUUUUGGUGCUGAGGGGAGUCCAGAAUUGAAGGGAUGUGGGAGGGCUGAACGUAUUUGUGGAUGUAAGGAAGUGAUGGAAUGCUGGCAAGGAUGUCCAAGGGCUGCAGGGAUUUGUACAGACCUGAGGUUACACAUACCCUUACAUCUGGUAAGGAUGAGGAUUGCUUUGCUCUUUCCUUGCUGUGUCCACCUGUGAUUGGGUGACUCCAGCAGGGUGACAGGGUCUCCAGGAAGGCAUGGUGAAGCUUCAGUUCAUCAUCCAUCAACAUUCACCCAGCAUUUCCCAAACUGGGAGACAAUUCCUUAGUCUUUAGAUGAGAUUUCCAUUGUCUUUGUAGUGGCCUUUCUCUCCUCCUCUUCAUUGCCAC